ensembl:misc_RNA Y_RNA Y RNA
CGCUGGUCCGAUGGCAUGCAUGGGUUAUCAGAACUUAUUAACAUUAGUGUCAGUAAAGUUGAUAUACCACUCCCCCACUGCUAAAUUUGACUGGCUUUAA